AGAGUUUGAUCCUGGCUCAGAACGAACGCUGGCGGCAGGCUUCAUACAUGCAAGUCGCGCGUGAAAGCUCCUUCGGGAGUAAGUAGAGCGGCGGACGGGUGAGUAACAGGUGGAUAAUCUGCCCUUUGGCGGGGGACAACGGUUGGAAACGACCGCUAAUACCGCGUACGAUCGCUUGGUCACAAGGCCGAGCGAGGAAAGGCGCCUUCAAGCGUCGCCAAAGGAUGGGUCCGCCCCCCAUUAGCUAGUUGGUGAGAUAACAGCUCACCAAGGCAUCGAUGGGUAGCCGAGCUGAGAGGUUGAUCGGCCACACUGGGACUGAGAUACGGCCCAGACACCUACGGGUGGCAGCAGUAGGGAAUAUUGGACAAUGGGCGCAAGCCUGAUCCAGCCAUGCCGCGUGGAGGAUGAAGGCCUUCGGGUCGUAAACUCCUUUUCUGAGGGAAGAACAUCUUGAGGAGGAAAUGCCUCAGGCCUGACGGUACCUCAGGAAUAAGCAACGGCUAACUCCGUGCCAGCAGCCGCGGUAAUACGGAGGUUGCAAGCGUUGUUCGGAAUGACUGGGCGUAAAGCGGGCGCAGGCGGCUUAGCCAGUCUGAAGUGAAAGCCCGGGGCUCAACCCCGGAAUAGCUUUGGAUACUACUAGGCUUGAGUGCGUGAGAGGAGAGUGGAAUUCCUGGUGUAGCGGUGAAAUGCGUAGAUAUCAGGAGGAACACCAAUGGCGAAAGCAGCUCUCUGGCACGUUACUGACGCUGAGGCCCGAAAGCGUGGGGAGCGAACAGGAUUAGAUACCCUGGUAGUCCACGCCGUAAACGUUGUGCACUAGGUGUAGGAGGUGUCGACCCCUUCUGUGCCGCAGCUAACGCAUUAAGUGCACCGCCUGGGGAGUACGCUCGCAAGAGUGAAACUCAAAGGAAUUGACGGGGGCCCGCACAAGCGGUGGAGCAUGUGGUUUAAUUCGAGGCAACGCGAAGAACCUUACCUGGACUUGACAUCCCGUGACCGCUUUGGAAACAAAGUUUUCUCUUAGGAGACACGGUGACAGGUGUUGCACGGCUGUCGUCAGCUCGUGUCGUGAGAUGUUGGGUUAAGUCCCGCAACGAGCGCAACCCUUGUCCUUAGUUACCAGCACGUUAUGGUGGGCACUCUAGGGAGACUGCCGGUGAUAAGCCGGAGGAAGGUGGGGACGACGUCAAGUCAUCAUGGCCCUUAUGUCCAGGGCUACACACGUGCUACAAUGGCCGGUACAGUGGGCGGCAAUACCGUGAGGUGGAGCUAAUCCCAAAAAGCCGGUCUCAGUUCGGAUUGGAGUCUGCAACUCGACUCCAUGAAGUCGGAAUCGCUAGUAAUCGCGUAUCAGCUACGACGCGGUGAAUACGUUCCCGGGCCUUGUACACACCGCCCGUCACAUGACCCGAGUCGGUUGCACCCGAAGUCGCUGGCCCAACCCUUUGGGGGGGAGGCGCCUAAGGUGUGGCUGGUAAGGGGGAUGAAGUCGUAACAAGGUAGCCGU
rnacentral:rRNA from 1 species